GAUGAACGCUGGCGGCGUGCCUAAUACAUGCAAGUCGAGCGAACGGACGAGAAGCUUGCUUCUCUGAUGUUAGCGGCGGACGGGUGAGUAACACGUGGAUAACCUACCUAUAAGACUGGGAUAACUUCGGGAAACCGGAGCUAAUACCGGAUAAUAUUUUGAACCGCAGGGUUCAAAAGUGAAAGACGGCUUUCCUGUCACUAAUAGAUGAUCCCCCGCUGCAUUAGCUAGUUGGUAAGGUAACGGCUUACCAAGGCAACGAUGCAUAGCCGACCUGAGAGGGUGAUCGGCCACACUGGAACUGAGACACGGUCCAGACUCCUACGGGAGGCAGCAGUAGGGAAUCUUCCGCAAUGGGCGAAAGCCUGACGGAGCAACGCCGCGUGAGUGAUGAAGGUCUUCGGAUCGUAAAACUCUGUUAUUAGGGAAGAACAUAUGUGUAAGUAACUGUGCACAUCUUGACGGUACCUAAUCAGAAAGCCACGGCUAACUACGUG
rnacentral:rRNA from 1 species